rnacentral:rRNA from 1 species
CCCUUAGAUGUUCUGGGCUGCACGCGCGCUACACUGAAGCGUUCAACGAGUAUUCACCUUGCCCGGGAGGGUUGGGUAAUCUUUUGAAAACGCUUCGUGAUGGGGAUAGAUUAUUGCAAUUAUUAAUCUUCAACGAGGAAUUCCUAGUAAGCGCAAGUCAUCAGCUUGCGUUGAUUACGUCCCUGCCCUUUGUACACACCGCCCGUCGCUCCUACCGAUUGAAUGGUCCGGUGAAGCGUUCGGACCGUGGCCUUUGGACGGUUCGCCGUCUGUUGGCUGCGGGAAGUUCGUUAAACCUUNUNAUUUAGNGGAAGGAGAANUCGUANCA